GACGAACGCUGGCGGCGUGCUUAACACAUGCAAGUCGAACGGAAACGCCCUGCUUUUUUGGUCUGCUCGAGUGGCGAACGGGUGAGUAACACGUGAGUAACCUGCCCUUGACUUUGGGAUAACUUCAGGAAACUGGGGCUAAUACCGGACAGCAGCCCCCGCUGCAUGGUGGGGGUUGGAACGUUUCGGCGGUUGGGGAUGGACUGGCGGCUUAUCAGCUUGUUGGUGGGGUAGUGGCUUACCAAGGCUUGGACGGAUACCCGGCCUGAGAGGGUGACCGGCGACAAGAGGACUGCGGGAGGGCCCAGAGUCGUACGGGAGGCAGCGGGGGGGAAUAUGGCACAAUGGGCGGGAGCCUGUUGCAGCAACGCCGGGGGCGGGAUGCCGGCCUGCGGGUAGUAAACAGCUUUCGCUUAUGACGAAGCGGGAGUGACGGUAAUGGGUAAAGAAGCACCGGCUAACUACGUG
rnacentral:rRNA from 1 species